GAGGGAAAGGUGAAAAGGACCCCGGGAGGGGAGUGAAAUAGAACCUGAAACCUUAUGCUUACAAGCAAUGGGAGCGCAAGUGACCAUGUACUUUUUGUAGAACGGGCCAACGAGUUAUGGUAUGUAGCGAGGUUAAGAUGCUGGAGCAUCGGAGCCGAAGCGAAAGCGAGUCUUAAUAGGGCGAUUAGUUAUAUGCUGUAGACCCGAAACCGGGUGACCUAUCCAUGUGCAGGUUGAAGCGAGAGUAAAAUCUCGUGGAGGACCGAACCCAUAUACGUUGAAAAGUGUUGGGAUGACGUGUGGAUAGCGGUGAAAUUCCAAUCGAACUCGGAUAUAGCUGGUUCUCCUCGAAAUAGCUUUAGGGCUAGCCUCAUAGUAAGAUACGCAGGGGUAGAGCACUGAAUGUUCUAGGGGCCUUCACCGGUUACCGAAAACUAUCAAACUCCGAAUACUGCGCAAUCAUCUAUGGGAGUCAGACUAUGAGAGAUAAGUUCCAUGGUCGAAAGGGAAACAGCCCAGACCUACAGCUAAGGUCCCAAAAUGUAAGUUAAGUGGAAAAGGAUGUGGAGCUGCAUAAACAGCUAGGAUGUUGGCUUAGAAGCAGCCACUCAUUUAAAGAGUGCGUAAUAGCUCACUAGUCGAGUGACUCUGCGCCGAAGAUAAACGGGGCUGAAACCUGACACCGAAGCUUUGGAUACAUUUAUGUAUGGUAGAGGAGCAUCGUAUACGGGCAGAAGCGUGACCGUAAGGAAACGUGGACUGUAUACGAGAGAGAAUGUUGGCAUGAGUAGCGAGAGGCAGGUGAGAAUCCUGCCCGCCGAAAAUCUGAGGAUUCCUGAGGAAGGUUCGUCCGCUCAGGGUAAGUCGGGACCUAAGCCGAGAACGAAAGUUGUAGGCGAUGGACAACAGGUUGAGAUUCCUGUACCACCGAGGAUCAUUUGAAUGAAGUGGGGACGCAGGAGGAUAGGCUGAGCGCGCCGUUGGUGGAGCGCGUCCAAGCACGGAGGGAGUUGACCAGGCAAAUCCGGUCAGCGAGUUCCUGACGUGUGAUGGGGAGGGAAAACAAGUACCGAAGCAGCUGAUUUCACACUGCCAAGAAAAGCCGCUGGUGAGAUCCAAGGUGCCCGUACCGCAAACCGACACAGGUAGAUGAGGAGAGAAUCCUAAGGCGAGCGAGAGAACUAUUGUUAAGGAACUCGGCAAAAUGACCCCGUAACUUAGGGAGAAGGGGUGCUGCAGAAAUGCAGCCGCAGUGAAGAGGCCCAGGCGACUGUUUACCAAAAACACAGGUCUCUGCGAAAGCGAAAGCUGAAGUAUAGGGGCUGACGCCUGCCCGGUGCUGGAAGGUUAAGGGGAAGUGUUAGGGCAACCGAAGCACAGAACUUAAGCCCCAGUAAACGGCGGCCGUAACUAUAACGGUCCUAAGGUAGCGAAAUUCCUUGUCGGGUAAGUUCCGACCCGCACGAAAGGCGUAACGAUUUGGGCACUGUCUCAACAAUAGACUCGGUGAAAUUGUAAUCCCGGUGAAGAUGCCGGGUACCUGCGACAGGACGGAAAGACCCCAUGGAGCUUUACUGUAGCUUGACGUUGGGUCUUGGUACUACAUGUACAGGAUAGGUGGGAGACUAUGAAGCAUGGACGCCAGUCUGUGUGGAGUCAUCCUUGGGAUACCACCCUUGUAGUACUGGGAUCCUAACCAUAGGCCUUGAAUCAGGUCUUGGAACACCGUCAGGUGGGCAGUUUGACUGGGGCGGUCGCCUCCUAAAAAGUAACGGAGGCGCUCAAAGGUUUCCUCAGCACGGUCGGAAAUCGUGCGAAGAGUGUAAAGGCAAAAGGAAGCUUGAUUGCAAGACAUACAGGUCGAGCAAGGACGAAAGUCGGACUUAGUGAUCCGGUGGUACCGCAUGGAAGGGCCAUCGCUCAACGGAUAAAAGCUACCCUGGGGAUAACAGGCUUAUCUCCCCCAAGAGUCCACAUCGACGGGGAGGUUUGGCACCUCGAUGUCGGCUCA
rnacentral:rRNA from 1 species